rnacentral:tRNA from 1 species
GCACACGUGGCGCAGUGGUAGCGCAGCAGAUUGCAAAUCUGUUGGUCCCCGGUUCGAACCCGGGCGUGGGCU